GGGGGUAUAGCUCAGGGGUAGAGCAUUUGACUGCAGAUCAAAAGGUCCCUAGUUCAAAUCUGGGUGUUCCCU
rnacentral:tRNA from 2 species